rnacentral:piRNA from 1 species
UGGCAGAUUGGAGGGACACCACAUGGUCUUU